GCAACACUGCUUUUUGAUCCCUCGAUGUUGGGUCUUCCAAGCUUC
rnacentral:rRNA from 1 species